UGAGUAACCUGCCCUUGACUCUGGGAUAAGCGUUGGAAACGACGUCUAAUACCGGAUACGACCAGCCUCGGCAUCGGGUGUUGGUGGAAAGAAUUUUUGGGUCAAAGGGAUGGACUCGCGGCCUAUCAGGUAGUUGGUGAGGUAAUGGCUCACCAAGCCUACGACGGGUAGCCGGCCUGAGAGGGUGACCGGCCACACUGGGACUGAGACACGGCCCAGACUCCGUACGGGAGCAG
rnacentral:rRNA from 1 species